rnacentral:rRNA from 1 species
CAGUCGAGGGGCAGCAUGGUCUUAGCUUGCUAAGGCCGUUGGCGACCCGUGCACGGGUGAGUAACGCGUAUCCAACCUGCCUUACACUCUUGGACAGCCUUCUGAAAGGGAGAUUAAUACAAGAUGUUAUCAUGAGUAAGCAUUUUCGCAUGAUUAAAGGUUUACCGGUGUAAGAUGGGGAUGCGUUCCAUUAGAUAGUAGGCGGGGUAACGGCCCACCUAGUCUUCGAUGGAUAGGGGUUCUGAGAGGAAGGUCCCCCACAUUGGAACUGAGACACGGUCCAAACUCCUACGGGAGGCAGCAGUGAGGAAUAUUGGUCAAUGGACGAGAGUCUGAACCAGCCAAGUAGCGUGAAGGAUGAAGGUUCUAUGGAUUGUAAACUUCUUUUAUACGGGAAUAAACGAAUCCACGUGUGGAUUUUUGCAUGUACCGUAUGAAUAAGGAUCGGCUAACUCCGUGCCAGCAGCCGCGGUAAUACGGAGGAUCCGAGCGUUAUCCGGAUUUAUUGGGUUUAAAGGGAGCGUAGAUGGGUUGUUAAGUCAGUUGUGAAAGUUUGCGGCUCAACCGUAAAAUUGCAAUUGAUACUGGCAGUCUUGAGUACAGUUGAGGUAGGCGGAAUUCGUGGUGUAGCGGUGAAAUGCUUAGAUAUCACGAAGAACUCCGAUUGCGAAGGCAGCUCACUAACCUGUAACUGACAUUGAUGCUCGAAAGUGUGGGUAUCAAACAGGAUUAGAUACCCUGGUAGUCCACACGGUAAACGAUGAAUACUCGCUGUAGGCGAUAUACAGUCUGCGGCCGAGCGAAAGCAUUAAGUAUUCCACCUGGGGAGUACGCCGGCAACGGUGAAACUCAAAGGAAUUGACGGGGGCCCGCACAAGC